rnacentral:rRNA from 1 species
AUUGAACGCUGGCGGCAGGCCUAACACAUGCAAGUCGAGCGGAUGAAGGGAGCUUGCUCCUGGAUUCAGCGGCGGACGGGUGAGUAAUGCCUAGGAAUCUGCCUGGUAGUGGGGGAUAACGUCCUGAAACGGGCGCUAAUACCGCAUACGUCCUGAGGGAGCAAGUGGGGGAUCUUCGGACCUCACGCUAUCAGAUGAGCCUAGGUCGGAUUAGCUAGUUGGUGGGGUAAAGGCCUACCAAGGCGACGAUCCGUAACUGGUCUGAGAGGAUGAUCAGUCACACUGGAACUGAGACACGGUCCAGACUCCUACGGGAGGCAGCAGUGGGGAAUAUUGGACAAUGGGCGAAAGCCUGAUCCAGCCAUGCCGCGUGUGUGAAGAAGGUCUUCGGAUUGUAAAGCCCUUUAAGUUGGGAGGAAGGGCAGUAAGUUAAUACCUUGCUGUUUUGACGUUACCAACAGAAUAAGCACCGGCUAACUUCGUG